AGAAAAGAACAAAAUCAAGAAGGUAAUCACGUUUGAACCCCGGUAAAUUCAUUCAUUUCUAACGUACUUUUUUUUUCCUUCUUCCCUCUCCACUUUCCGAGGCGACGACUGCAGCGAACGAGACCCAUCGCUUCAUAUUUACUCACAGUGCAAGGGCAUACAGGUCCAUGCUGGAAAAAGAAAAGAAAAAGAGAAGACGAAGACAAGCCAAGCAAAAGACUUCUGUCAGAGGGAUGGAGACACAGGUGCUUUAAGGCUCAGUCGACUUGAUGAUGUGGAGAGGAAAAGGGAGAGAGAGAGAGAGAGAGAGAGAGAGAGAGAGAGAGAGAGAGAGAGAGAGAGAGAGGACAGCCCUGUGUCCCUGUUAGCAAUGGAAGCUUCAGUGAUGAAAACCAAGAACCGGUGUCAAGAACUUUUUUAGCACAUCACUACAGCUGCUGGGAAUAAAUAGCAGCCAACUGAAGAGCAUUAGGAGGAAGGGAA